UGUGAAUUAGUGUAUGAUGCACAUAAAAUUUUGAUUUUUAAAGAUGAGUUUAAUUCUUAAAUUUGCAG
rnacentral:tRNA from 1 species